rnacentral:rRNA from 1 species
GACGAACGCUGGCGGCGUGCUUAACACAUGCAAGUCGAACGGUGAAGCGCCUUCCUUUUUGGUGGGUGUGGAUGAGUGGCGAAUGGGUGAGUAACACGUGAGUAACCUGCCCCCUUCUUCUGGAUAACCGCAUGAAAGUGUGGCUAAUACGGGAUAUUCUGGGUCUGUCGCAUGAUGGGUCUGGGAAAGAUAUUGUUUCGGUGGGGGAUGGGCUCGCGGCCUAUCAGCUUGUUGGUGGGGUGAUGGCCUACCAAGGCGGUGACGGGUAGCCGGCCUGAGAGGGUGGACGGUCACACUGGGAGUGAGACACGGCCCAGACUCCUACGGGAGGCAGCAGCGGGGAAUAUUGCACAAUGGGCGCAAGCCUGAUGCAGCGACGCCGCGUGAGGGAUGGAGGCCUUCGGGUUGUGAACCUCUUUCGCCAGUGAAGCAGGCCUGCCUCGUUUGUGGGUGGGUUGACGGUAGCUGGAUAAGAAGCGCCGGCUAACUACGUG